ACUCACCGGUCUCGCGAAUGCCCAUAGCAGUUUAAUUUGAUCAUGGCUCAGAUUCCAACGCGUGGUUACAGGCCUAACACAUGCAAGUCGAGCGGAUGAGUGGAGCUUGCUCCAUGAUUCAGCGGCGGACGGGUGAGUAAUGCCUAGGAAUCUGCCUGGUAGUGGGGGACAACGUUUCGAAAGGAACGCUAAUACCGCAUACGUCCUACGGGAGAAAGCAGGGGACCUUCGGGCCUUGGCGCUAUCAGAUGAGCCUAGGUCCGGAUUAGCUAGUUGGGUGGGGUAAAGGCCUAACCAAGGGCCGAACGAAUCCGGUAACCUGGGUUCCUGAANGAGGAAUGAAUCCAGGUUCCA
rnacentral:rRNA from 1 species